rnacentral:rRNA from 1 species
AAAGCACUUUAAGCAGUGAAGAAGACUCCAUGGUUAAUACCCAUGGACGAUGACAUUAGCUGCAGAAUAAGCACCGGCUAACUCUGUGCCAGCAGCCGCGGUAAUACAGAGGGUGCAAGCGUUAAUCGGAAUUACUGGGCGUAAAGCGAGCGUAGGUGGCUUGAUAAGUCAGAUGUGAAAUCCCCGGGCUUAACCUGGGAACUGCAUCUGAUACUGUUAGGCUAGAAUAGGUGAGAGGAAGGUAGAAUUCCAGGUGUAGCGGUGAAAUGCGUAGAGAUCUGGAGGAAUACCGAUGGCGAAGGCAGCUUUCUGGCAUCAUAUUGACACUGAGGUUCGAAAGCGUGGGUAGCAAACAGGAUUAGAUACCCUGGUAGUCCACGCCGUAAACGAUGUCUACUAGUCGUUGGGUCCCUUGAGGACUUAGUGACGCAGCUAACGCAAUAAGUAGACCGCCUGGGGAGUACGGCCGCAAGGUUAAAGCUCAAAUGAAUUGACGGGGGCCCGCACAAGCGGUGGAGCAUGUGGUUUAAUUCGAUGCAACGCGAAGAACCUUACCUGGUCUUGACAUAUCUAGAAUCCUGCAGAGAUGCGGGAGUGCCUUCGGGAAUUAGAAUACAGGUGCUGCAUGGCUGUCGUCAGCUCGUGUCGUGAGAUGUUGGGUUAAGUCCCGCAACGAGCGCAACCCUUGUCCUUAGUUACCAGCGGGUUAAGCCGGGAACUCUAAGGAUACUGCCAGUGACAAACUGGAGGAAGGCGGGGACGACGUCAAGUCAUCAUGGCCCUUACGACCAGGGCUACACACGUGCUACAAUGGUAGGUACAGAGGGCAGCUACACAGCGAUGUGAUGCGAAUCUCAAAAAGCCUAUCGUAGUCCAGAUUGGAGUCUGCAAUUCGACUCCAUGAAGUAGGAAUCGCUAGUAAUCGCGGAUCAGAAUGCCGCGGUGAAUACGUUCCCGGGCCUUGUACACACCGCCCGUCACACCAUGGGAGUUGAUUGCACCAGAAGUGGAUAGCCUAACCUUCGGGAAGGCGUUCACCACGGUGUGGUUGAUGACUGGGGUGAAGUCGUAACAAGGUAA